rnacentral:rRNA from 1 species
AUUGAACGCUGGCGGCAUGCCUUACACAUGCAAGUCGAACGGUAACAGGUCUUCGGCUGCUGGCGAGUGGCGAACGGGUGAGUAAUACAUCGGAACGUGCCCAGACGUGGGGGAUAACGAGGCGAAAGCUUUGCUAAUACCGCAUACGAUCUAAGGAUGAAAGCAGGGGACCGCAAGGCCUUGCGCGUUUGGAGCGGCCGAUGGCAGAUUAGGUAGUUGGUGGGAUAAAAGCUUACCAAGCCGACGAUCUGUAGCUGGUCUGAGAGGACGACCAGCCACACUGGGACUGAGACACGGCCCAGACUCCUACGGGAGGCAGCAGUGGGGAAUUUUGGACAAUGGGCGAAAGCCUGAUCCAGCAAUGCCGCGUGCAGGAUGAAGGCCUUCGGGUUGUAAACUGCUUUUGUACGGAACGAAAAGGCUCUGGCUAAUACCUGGGGCACAUGACGGUACCGUAAGAAUAAGCACCGGCUAACUACGUG